CCUACGGGCGGCUGCAGUGGGGAAUAUUGGACAAUGGGCGAAAGCCUGAUCCAGCCAUGCCGCGUGUGUGAAGAAGGCCUUCGGGUUGUAAAGCACUUUCAGUGGGGAAGAAAGCCUUGGGGCUAAUACCCUCGAGGAAGGACAUCACCCACAGAAGAAGCACCGGCUAACUCCGUGCCAGCAGCCGCGGUAAUACGGAGGGUGCGAGCGUUAAUCGGAAUUACUGGGCGUAAAGCGCGCGUAGGCGGUCUGAUAAGCCGGUUGUGAAAGCCCCGGGCUCAACCUGGGAACGGCAUCCGGAACUGUCAGGCUAGAGUGCAGGAGAGGAAGGUAGAAUUCCCGGUGUAGCGGUGAAAUGCGUAGAGAUCGGGAGGAAUACCAGUGGCGAAGGCGGCCUUCUGGACUGACACUGACGCUGAUGUGCGAAAGCGUGGGUAGCAAACAGGAUUAGAUACCCCUGUAGUC
rnacentral:rRNA from 1 species